CACAGUGGCUGCACCAGUCUGCAUUCCUACCAACAAUGUACAAUUCCAGCCCUGUAUCUUCACAGUACUAAAACCAGUGGAAAGGAAUUAUUCAGAAAAUGGAGAGUUGACUUGGCAACUGGAAUUUCUAUUGUUCUUUCUCAUCAAUAAGAUAUUUGUAGAUAAGGAAACAGAACAACUUCUCACAGUCACAAC